GUCUAUGGCCAUACUGCCUUGAACAUGCCCGAUCUCAUCUGAUCUCAGAAGCUAAGCAGGGUCAGGCCUAGUUAGUACUUGGAUGGGGGACUGCCUGGGAAUACUGGGUGCCGUAGGCU